GCCCCUAUAGCUCAGUGGUUAGAGCGUUGCACUUGUAAUGCAAAGGUCCAUAGUUCAACUCUGUGUGGGGGCA